rnacentral:lncRNA from 1 species
CUGGAAGGCCCAACAGUGUGAGCCCAGGAGCGGCCUCUCAGGGUGACAUUUUUGGCACUCUGGGGGCAUCAGGGAAAGGGGCUGGGGUGGCUGACCCAGGAGGGGCAGCUAACUUUCCAGAAGUACCUCUCCCUGCCCUCCUCUGGGCUGAGACCAAGUGACUGUUUGCACACAAUGUUUUCAUUUUAAUUUACAGUUUCCAAGGGCUAAUCUCAGGUGGGACUUCUCAUACUGACUGUAAGUAGAGUACGCCCAUUUUAUAACUCCUUUAUCUUACUUACUUAAGGACGACAGAUAGCAACUCCUUCACAAAUUCAUACCUUUUCUGAGAGGAAAAUGGUGACAGGGCUGCGUGGACCCAUUUUAUCAGCUCCUGUUUCAAUACUGGCAUUAGGAAUGAUAAACAGUGAUAUAAACAGUUAUUUAACAUAAAGGUUAAGUUGGUCAGAAUAAACCCCGAGGGCUGACACAGGUCAACCAAACCCUCCAUUGCCUAAGUUUACCAUUAAGAAAAAAAUAACCCGAGAGAGUUAAUCAAGUGAAACCGAAAAGUAAAGAAAGGUGUGGGCUACUUUUAAAAGUAUUUUUCCAUUUAAUCUACUUUUUGCAGCCAAAAGUGGAACUGGCCCUCCCUGGCUUGCCCGGGCUGAGACUCCUGACUUCAGCACUGAAUUUGGCGGCCACAGAACGGGCCGGGACCGGCUGCAGGGUUUCAGUUCGAGUUUGCUGGUACCUGGCUGGCUACUUCCUGAAAAUACUAUGUUCCCCACCCCCAAAAUCAUCUGUUUCGAAAAUAACAAAUAGGGCAUAUUUUCCCCUCCAAAUAGAAAUAAAAGACAGGUUGACUUUUGUGUGUGUGACAUUUUUCUCCUUUGGUGCCCAAAAUAAAGCCAGAUGAAAUAAGUGUGUGGGGAAGGGAGAGAGGUAAAAGGCAGCUGGUAUGAAAAGGAAAACCUCUG